GACGAACGCUGGCGGCGUGCUUAACACAUGCAAGUCGUACGGUAAGGCCCUUUCGGGGGUACACGAGUGGCGAACGGGUGCGUAACACGUGAGUAACCUGCCCACAACUUUGGGAUAACGCUAGGAAACUGGUGCUAAUACUGGAUAUGUGCUCCUGCUGCAUGGUGGGGGUUGGAAAGCUCCGGCGGUUGUGGAUGGACUCGCGGCCUAUCAGCUUGUUGGUGGGGUAGUGGCCUACCAAGGCGGCGACGGGUAGCCGGCCUGAGAGGGUGACCGGCCACAUUGGGACUGAGAUACGGCCCAGACGCCUACGGGAGGCAGCAGGGGGGAAGAUUGCACAAUGGGCGCAAGCCUGAUGCAGCAACGCCGCGGGCGGGAAGACGGUCUUCGGGUUGAAAACCGCUUUCAGCAGGGACGAAGCUUUUUGUGACGGUACCUGAAGAAGAAGCACCGGCUAACUACGUG
rnacentral:rRNA from 1 species